CCUAGGGGAGGGGCCAUAGCUCAAGGACAGAACAUCUGCUUUGCAUGCAGAAGGUCCCAGAUUCAAUCCCUGGCAAUCUCCAGGU